GUCCAUGAAUGUUUCUCGUGUGCAUAUCAGAGAAGGGUCGGGUUUGUAGCAAGCGAAGUCGAGGAGGAAUACUUUGCGAGGACGGGUUGUGAAGUAGAGGGUGGUUAGAAAGAUGAGAAGAACAGCGAAGAGACUGGACGGGAGGAGGUGGAAAUGGAGGAGGUGGUUAAAUAAGAGAGUGAGAUCGGAGAGUUUGAAGGAGGAGGAGGUUGCAGCAAAGAGGACGGGGAGGAUGAUGAUGUAGACGGCAUUAGAGAUUAAGUAGUGGUAACCAAGUUUAACGUAUUUGAGACGUACCGAUAAGAGGAAGUUUGGGAGUUUUUGGUUUGUUACAUCAACGGUGGUAACUGGUGAAUUGUUAUUGUUUGCACUUUGAAUGUGAUUCUCAUUCAUGGUAUCUAGGUCUUUUGGCUUACGACCAACAAAAAAAGAAGAAGAGAUUAAGUGUUUAAUGUAGAGAAAGAGAUAACUUAUGGCCUAAAAAGUUGGAAGAAUUAUUGAGAAUUUAUAGGCAAAGAUUUAGAAAGAGAACGAGGCAAUUUAAUAAAUGAAGUAUGGUACAUAGUCCUUAUGGUUAUUGUUGUGGAGGUGAACGAACUAUCAACUAUGCAUUGACUCGGUUCUGACCGAAACCGAUCAAACAUGUAUUGUUAUUUAUAUAUGAAUAUACAUAUUUGACGGUUUUAUUUCAUUUUGGAUGAUACUUUCAUAUUCUAAUAUUGAAACUUACAAAGCAAGAUACAUUCUAAAAACGAUCUGAAUUUUCUGUAUGAGAUUCUCAAAUUCAUAGAUUGUGUAUAACGUUGUACUUAUAUGUAUUCCUCUUUCCAUUACAUCAAUUAGUUUAUGAUUUACAAGGAAUAGUAUAAUACUUUUUGUUUUAUGAUAAACAAAUUUUCACCAUGUGUGUUAUAUUAUCCUCCAAAUUUACAGGGAGAAUUUUUUUGAAUAGUUCAGGGUUUAGGGAUCGUUUAUAUUAGAAGGUACAACUAACUCCAACCAACUCUUAAUGGUUCAACAAUGGCGAUUUAAUGGAAUUGAAUUUGCCAGAUGGGGCAAUAGGGAAUGAUUGGGUGAGGGUGUAAUUUACUGAUACACCCUUGAGCUGACUGAUUUAUUUGGUAUUUUGCUACUGCUUUGUUUUAGGAACUAGGGGACGUUCUGGGUCCACUUUGUUAACGAUGGCGUAGGAUUUAAAUUAAGUUUAUGGAUCAGUUAUUAAAAUAAUAUUGUAUAUGGUAAUGGAUAUAUUUUUUGACGAAUAGUAUUUAGUAAAAAAAUAUAUUAUAAUGUAUGAGUAUACGUGAGGAAAAGAGUUGUUGAACUACGCAGGAGGAAAUGUGUGGAUUAUUUCUAAUAUAAGUACAAAUAUUUUGUUGGUGAACUGGUGUUUUCUUACGUGAGUAUUCACACGUGUUACAUUUCCCACCUCUUAUUACUGAGUUGCAAAUCAGGAGGGUAUCUUGAUUUUGUUAGUUCUUGGACCAAAUGGAUUUCGUAGAUAGUCGUCGUGGAGUUCUUUGGUGAGAAAAAAAAGAUGCAACGGAGCUUUAACUUCACUGGUGUCGUCUCGUGGUUUGCAUCUAAGAAUAUAUACAUCUUUCAACGAUUCAUAUGAUGACACAUGCAUAAUGGAUAUGUGAAUUCGUGAAUAAAACGACCAGUCGAACAAUAAUCUUUCCAUUUUUAAGCUAGAUUUUGAUCAGGUUGACUAAAAGCCAAACAUGUUGUGGACACUUGCACACCAACACCAAAUGACUGAGUAUUUGUAUUUUUUGAUAAAACAGUAUCUAAUACAUUACCACGUAUCUUUGCUGUUUCUAACUUCAAUAUUUUAAACAAAAAUUAGCUUGUUGUUUCUUUCUAUUUUUUCUUUUGCUGGAAAAAUCAAAGCUACAAGUUAAUAACACACCUAUUUUGUUGUUGUCGUUGUUGUCUUCGCGUUGGUAAACGCAGUUAAAGGCGUUGUCGUCUGCUCCUUUGUGAGUGCGGACAGUGUGAAUUAACUGAUACUUUGAGCGGCGGCGGUCGGAGGAGCGGUUAGAGAGGAGAACGGCGGCGCCGCCCAUUCGGAAAAUGCAGUUUGAGAGAAGCAUUGAUCGGUCGUUGCCUAAGUACCAGUUUAGGGUUAUGUUCUCUGUGCUCACUACUAGUGCAUAUGAGUUUGCUUGAACCUGCAUGAAAUUAAAGUUUGGGAAUUAGGACAUGCAUGUAUAUAUAUGUGUAAGCAUAACAAAUAAUUUGGAAGUACUUUCUGUAAAUGUAUGUCAAUAUAGUUUGGAUUUUUGAUUAAAUUAAACGAAUAUUUUUGGCAUACUUUGUUACUUUCCAAUCGGGUUUCACAGUUUUGCUAUUUAUCAAUGUUAAUAGAAAAUAAAUAAAAAUAAUUUGAAAAUAUAUAUAAUGAAACGCGUUAAAUACAUGCAUGUCACCAUAUGUGAGACCUUACGUGUAUUUAUAUUUAGUGAAACUUAUACUCCUAAAAAAACUUGCUGUGUGAAGUUGUUCAACAAACCUUUCCUCGAUUAAACAUUGCUAAGCAAGACACGUCACCUAUAAAUUUUGUUUAAACUAAGGUUAAUAGGUACGAGAAUAUUUCCCUUAACUAAAGGCUUAAACUAUCCUGUUUCCAAAAUAUUAAUUAACUUAUCCUACGUUAAAUUGGUCUUACAUAUGAUUUUCACGUUCUCUUUUCACGUUCUCUUCUCUUUUACAUAAUUAUAUAAUGAAAUGUUAAUGAUUGAAGAAAAGAAUAUAUGUACUUCCAAGAAAGGAUUAGCCAAUUUAGUCUUAUUAAUCAUUUAAUUUUUUACAAAAAUACCAUUAAUCAUAUAUUCCCUCCGUUCCCUAAAAAAUCAAUGUUUUAGAAUUUUCACACUUUUUAAUAAAACAUAUUAAAAUUUAGCUAUAAAUGCAAAGUUUUUUGUAUUUUUAAACCAAUAAAAUUUUAAGAAAUGCAAUUAAUGUUCUUGAACUUUACAAUUUUUUAUUAUUAGUUAACAAAAAUUACAUUGAAAAUAUAAAAUAUUUAUUUUUUUGAAACACAAGUUUUUUUAAGAAUAUAGAUUUUUGAAGAACGGAGGAAGUAAAUGGUAUCUCAAAAAACUUUCAUAUGAUUUUUCUUUGCGGCAGCCUUUUUAUGUUAUUACUAGUACAAAUAAAAAAUCAUGAUAAUUAAUAUUGUUGUAUAUAUUCCGACAGGUUCUACAGCUAUGCAAAUUCAACCGUUACAUGCGACACUUUGGACUGACCGUAGGUCCGUAACAUAUAUAUACUCUAGUGUUUUGUAACUAUCAUAUGUACACACACGCCCAUUGGUUCAUAUACUGAAUACAAAAUCAAAAUGUACUUGUUAUUAAUGUAACCUGUAGUUUUUCAAUUUUCGCAACUACCACCUAUCUAGAGACAAAAGAAAGCCUGGCACAAACUUCAUAAAUGUGCACGUGCUCACAAUCAAAGCUAGAGUUUUACUUUUACCAUUGUUUCAAAUAAAAUCAGCAACCAAAAAAUUAUAUAGAUAAUGACAAGACGUGAAGAAAACUAGAAAAGUCCCAACCAACCUCUCCACCCAAAACGUAAUUUGUUUUUCUCAUGAAAUUCUUAUUUCUUGUCAAAUGGUCCUAUUGAAAGCAAAGCUGAUUAUAUAGUAGUACUAAAUGACCAAAAAAAAUCCAUAAUCUAUAAUUAAUGGAGGGAAUUUGAUAAAUAAUUACCUGAAGAAGCUGUUUUGCGAGAUCAAUGGAGAUAAGACCAGCACUACAACCCAUACCACCAAGAUUAUAGCUCAAGAUGUUUCCUCUAAGCUUAUAUUUAUUCACGAUCAUAGCCGACAAAGAGGGCGUCGGAUUAAACAAGCUACAAUUCACCACAAGUAUCCCAAUAUCCUUAGGCUUAACUCCAGUUUUCUCAAGCACUGCGUCUAUGGCUCCAAACAUAACCGUCUCGGCUUCUUUCCUCGCUUCCGACAUACAUGGAUUCGGCGGGACACGUAAGAGAGCCUCGGGGAAGUAUGUCUUCUGCCCUAAACCGGAACGUUCGAGGAUCUUUUGUUGGAAAGCGAGGUUGUCUUCUGUGAAGAUACCUACACGCUGAGACCGGUCCAUGAAUGUUUCUCGUGUGCAUAUUAGAGAAGGGUCGGGUUUGUAGCAAGCGAAGUCGAGGAGGAAUACUUUGCGAGGACGGGUUGUGAAGUAGAGAGUUGUUAGAAAGAUAAGAAGAGUAGCGAAGAGAGUGGACGGGAGGAGGUGGAAAUGGAGGAGGUGGUUACAUAAGAGAGUGAGAUCGGAGAGUUUGAAGGAGGAGGAGGUUGCAGCAAAGAGGACGGGGAGGAUGAUGAUGUAGACGGCAUUAGAGAUUAAGUAGUGGUAACCAAGUUUAACGUAUUUGAGACGUACCGAUAAGAGGAAGUUUGGGAGUUUUUGGUUUGUUACAUCAACGGUGGUAACUUGUGAAUUGUUAUUGUUUGCACUUUGAAUGUGAUUCUCAUUCAUGGUAUCUAGGUCUUUUGGC
rnacentral:lncRNA from 1 species